UACGUAGGGUGCGAGCGUUGCCCGGAUUUAUUGGGCGUAAAGGGCGCGUAGGCGGCUCUGCACGUCCGUUGUGAAAUCGCCCGGCUCAACUGGGCGGGGUCAGCGGAUACGGCAGAGCUUGAGCAAGCUAGGGGGCAAUGGAAUUCCCGGUGUAGCGGUGAAAUGCGCAGAUAUCGGGAGGAACACCCGUAGCGAAGGCGGCACUCUGGGCCGGAACUGACGCUGAGGAGCGAAAGCGUGGGGAGCAAACAGG
rnacentral:rRNA from 1 species